rnacentral:lncRNA from 1 species
UCGAGGACGGCCUCGUGGAGCCGCGGCCACGCGCGGACCAGCGCGUCCUGGUGGUGCUGCAGCACGUAGGCGGCGUAGGAGGCGCCGUCGCCGGAGGGGACGAGGGUGCGGCCGACGUCGGUGAGGGAGUAGCGGCGAGCGCCGGAGGUGGCGCAGCGGUUCUCGGCGAAGACGCCGUGGCUGGCGAGGAGGCGGAGGAGGCGCUGGAGGACGGACGGGUCGGAGGAAGAGGGCGGCGGGGGGCGGAGGAGGGCGAGGAUCUCGGCUGCGGUGAGGGGGGAGUUAGAUCCGGACUGCCAGAUGGCGUCGGGGACGUUGAGGCGGACGACGGCGUUUAGCGCCAUGGGGACGGAGAUCAUGUUGGCGAGCUCCAUCAUCGCCAGCCGACCCUGCUUUCCGACCUCCGACGUCGGAUCCUCUCGACCGCC